CGUGCCUAACACAUGCAAGUCGAGCGAAGUAUAUCUAAGUGAAGUUUUCGGACAGAACGAAGAUAUAUCUUAGCGGCGGACGGGUGAGUAACGCGUGAGCAACCUGACCUUUCACAAAGGGAUAGCCUCGGGAAACUGGGAUUAAUACCAUAUAAAACUUGCCUUUCGCAUGAAAGGGAAGUCAAAGCGAUAAGCGGUGAAAGAUGGGCUCGCGUCCUAUUAGCUAGUUGGUGAGGUAACGGCUCACCAAGGCGACGAUAGGUAGCCGGCCUGAGAGGGUGAACGGCCACACUGGAACUGAGACACGGUCCAGACUCCUACGGGAGGCAGCAGUGGGGGAUAUUGCACAAUGGAGGAAACUCUGAUGCAGCGACGCCGCGUGAGUGAAGAAGGCCUUCGGGUCGUAAAGCUCUGUCCUAGGGGAAGAUAAUGACGGUACCCUAGGAGGAAGCCCCGGCUAACUACGUGCCAGCAGCCGCGGUAAUACGUAGGGGGCGAGCGUUGUCCGGAAUUACUGGGCGUAAAGAGUUCGUAGGCGGUUUGAUAAGUCAGAUGUGAAAGGCGUAGGCUUAACCUAUGUAAGCAUAUGAAACUGUCAGACUUGAGGUAAGGAGAGGAAAGUGGAAUUCCUAGUGUAGCGGUGAAAUGCGUAGAUAUUAGGAGGAAUACCAGUGGCGAAGGCGACUUUCUGGACUUAAACUGACGCUGAGGAACGAAAGCGUGGGGAGCAAACAGGAUUAGAUACCCUGGUAGUCCACGCCGUAAAC
rnacentral:rRNA from 1 species